GACGGGGGGGGCUAGCGUUGCUCGGAAUCACUGGGCGUAAAGCGCACGUAGGCGGAUUGCUAAGUCAGGGGUGAAAUCCUGGAGCUCAACUCCAGAACUGCCUUUGAUACUGGCGACCUUGAGUCCGGGAGAGGUGAGUGGAACUGCGAGUGUAGAGGUGAAAUUCGUAGAUAUUCGCAAGAACACCAGUGGCGAAGGCGGCUCACUGGCCCGGUACUGACGCUGAGGUGCGAAAGCGUGGGGAGCAAACAGG
rnacentral:rRNA from 1 species